rnacentral:rRNA from 1 species
CCGGGAAGAGCUCAAAUUUGAAAUCUGGCGUCCUCAGGGCGUCCGAGUUGUAAUCUAUAGAGGCGUUUUCCGUGCCGGACCGUGUCCAAGUUCCUUGGAACAGGAUAUCAAAGAGGGUGACAAUCCCGUACUUGACACGACGACCGGUGCUCUGUGAUACGUCUUCUACGAGUCGAGUUGUUUGGGAAUGCAGCUCAAAAUGGGUGGUGAGUUCCAUCUAAAGCUAAAUAUUGGCGAGAGACCGAUAGCGAACAAGUACCGUGAGGGAAAGAUGAAAAGCACUUUGGAAAGAGAGUUAAACAGUACGUGAAAUUGUUGAAAGGGAAACGAUUGAAGUCAGUCGUGACCGAGAGGCUCAGCCGGUUCUGCCGGUGUAUUCCCCUCGGUCGGGUCAACAUCAGUUUUGUCCGGUGGAUAAGGACGGUAGGAAGGUGGCACCCUCGGGUGUGUUAUAGCCUGCCGUCGCAUACAUCGGGUGAGACUGAGGAACGCAGCUCGCCUUUAUGGCCGGGGUUCGCCCACGUCCGAGCUUAGGAUGUUGACAUAAUGGCUUUAAACGACCCGUCUU